UACGGAGGGAGCUAGCGUUGUUCGGAAUUACUGGGCGUAAAGCGCGCGUAGGCGGCUUUGUAAGUUAGAGGUGAAAGCCCGGGGCUCAACCCCGGAACUGCCUUUAAGACUGCAUCGCUUGAAUCCGGGAGAGGUGAGUGGAAUUCCGAGUGUAGAGGUGAAAUUCGUAGAUAUUCGCAAGAACACCAGUGGCGAAGGCGGCUCACUGGCCCGGUACUGACGCUGAG
rnacentral:rRNA from 1 species